UACGUAUGGUGCAAGCGUUGUCCGGAUUUACUGGGUGUAAAGGGAGCGCAGACGGCGCCGCAAGCCGGGCGUGAAAUCCGGGGGCCCAACCCCCGGGCCGCGCCCGGAACUGCGGGGCUGGAGUGCCGGAGGGGCAGGCGGAAUUCCUAGUGUAGCGGUGAAAUGCGUAGAUAUUAGGAGGAACACCGGCGGCGGAGGCGGCCUGCUGGACGGCGACUGACGUUGAGGCUCGAGAGCGUGGGGAG
rnacentral:rRNA from 1 species